UACGUAGGGUGCGGGCGUUAAUCGGAAUUACUGGGCGUAAAGGGCUCGUAGGCGGCCAACUAAGUCGGACGUGAAAUCCCCAGGCUCAACCUGGGAACUGCGUCCGAUACUGGAUGGCUUGAAUCCGGGAGAGGGAUGCAGAAUUCCAGGUGUAGCGGUGAAAUGCGUAGAUAUCUGGAGGAAUACCGGUGGCGAAGGCGGCAUCCUGGACCGGCAUUGACGCUGAGGAGCGAAAGCCAGGGGAGCAAACGGG
rnacentral:rRNA from 1 species